rnacentral:rRNA from 1 species
AUGAACGCUGGCGGCGUGCUUAACACAUGCAAGUCGAACGGAACUACUCCAAUGAGAGUCUUCGGAAAGGAUUUGGUUUAGUUUAGUGGCGGACGGGUGAGUAACGCGUGGGUAACCUGCCCUAUACAGGGGGAUAACAGUUGGAAACGACUGUUAAUACCGCAUAAGCGCACAGGAGCGCAUGCUCCGGUGUGAAAAACUCCGGUGGUAUAGGAUGGACCCGCGUCUGAUUAGCUGGUUGGCGGGGUAACGGCCCACCAAGGCGACGAUCAGUAGCCGGCCUGAGAGGGUGAACGGCCACAUUGGGACUGAGACACGGCCCAAACUCCUACGGGAAGCAGCAGUGGGGAAUAUUGCACAAUGGGGGAAACCCUGAUGCAGCGACGCCGCGUGAGCGAAGAAGUAUCUCGGUAUGUAAAGCUCUAUCAGCAGGGAAGAAAAUGACGGUACCUGACUAAGAAGCCCCGGCUAACUACGUG